CUAAGAAUAUUCCGCAAUGGACGAAAGUCUGACGGAGCGACGCCGCGUGGAUGACGAAGGCCGAAAGGUUGUAAAAUCCUUUUGCUGGGGAAGAAUAACCAUGGGAGGGAAUGCCCGUGGGAUGACAUGAACCGGCGAAUAAGCCCCGGCUAACUACGUGCCAGCAGCCGCGGUAACACGUAGGGGGCGAGCGUUGUUCGGAAUUAUUGGGCGUAAAGGGCAUGUAGGCGGUUCCGUAAGCCUGGCGUGAAAUGGUAAGGCUCAACCUUAUCCUGCGUCGGGAACUGCGGGACUAGAAUCACUGAGGGGGAGAUAGAAUUCCAGGUGUAGGGGUGAAAUCUGUAGAUAUCUGGAAGAAUACCGGUGGCGAAGGCGAUCUCCUGGCAGAUGAUUGACGCUGAGGUGCGAAAGUGCGGGGAGCAAACAGG
rnacentral:rRNA from 1 species